rnacentral:sRNA from 1 species
UAUAAAGUCAACAACGAAUUUAUCAUCAUAAAGGGGUUUUGGGGAUGGGUACGAUCGUAUGUCAAGCAUGUGAAGCGACAAUUGCGUAUUUUGAAGACGAAAAAGUGACAACGCUUUACGGAAAAUGUGAUUGUUGCGAUCAUGACGACGAAGUAGAGGAACGGGAGUAGAACGGUCAAACAAACGGGGGAAGGAAUGGAUAGGCGCACAUGUGAAAGGGGCACAUGUGCGCCAUU